rnacentral:tRNA from 1 species
GGAGGGUGCAGCUCAGGGGCAGGGUGCGUGCUUAGCAUGCACGAGGUCCUGGGUUCAAUCCCCAGUCCCUCCU